CUUGUCUUCUAAAUAAAGACCGGUAUGAACGGCGCCACGAGAACUAACCUGUCUUCCCUCUCUAAUCAGUGAAACUGAUCUCCCCGUGCAGAAGCGGGGAUAAAACCAUAAGACGAGAAGACCCUGUGGAACUUAAAAUUUAUAAUCAUCUCCCUGCAAUUUCCCUUACAAUAGCAUAGACUUGAUUUGUAUUUUCAGCUGGGGCAUCUAUGGAGAAAAAACUACCCUCCAUGAAGAACUCAAUCUAAGAGCUACGCCUCUAAGUAUUAACACUCUUAACCAUACUUGACCCAAUUACAUUGAUCAACGGACCAAGUUACCCCAGGGAUAACAGCGCAAUCCACUUCUAGAGUUCAUAUCGACAAGUGGGCUUACGACCUCGAUGUUGGAUCAGGGCAUCAAAGUGGUGUAGCCACUACUAAAGGUUCGUUUGUUCAACGAUUAAAGCCCU
rnacentral:rRNA from 1 species